rnacentral:rRNA from 1 species
CCCUUAGAUGUUCUGGGCUGCACGCGCGCUACACUGAUACAGCCAAAGAGAUAUUUUUGCCUAUCGGCUGAGAGAAAUCUUGCGAAUCUGUAUCGUGAUGGGAACAAACGAUUGCAAUUAUUCGUUUCGAACGAGGAAUUCCUAGUAAGCGUGAGUCAUCAGCUCAUGCUGAUUACGUCCCUGCCCUUUGUACACACCGCCCGUCGCUCCUACCGAUUGGGUGAUCCGGUGAGCUAGUCUGACCCUAGUGCUGCAACAUGUUGUGACAUGAGGGAAAGUCUCGCAAACCUUAUCAUUUAGAGGAAGGAGAAGUCGUAACA